rnacentral:lncRNA from 1 species
UUCACCUCGGCUCACUCUUGGCAUUGUCACUGCAUAGGUUUGGGCAGCUCCUCCCUCCCUCCUCAUGAGCCCUUGGCAAACACAGGACCAUUGACUAUCUCUAUAGUUUUGCCUUUUCCAGAACGUCAUUUAUUUGAUGGGAACGACAGUGCACAGCCUUUUCAAAUGGGCUUCGUUCACUUUGUAAUGUGUUCGUGUGGAUGUAAGUUUCCAGCUCAUCUGGGUAAGUAUGAAGGCAUGCGAUUGCUGGAUUAUGUGACAAGCAUGUGCUUAGUUUUGUAAGAAACCACCCAACUGUCUUC